rnacentral:rRNA from 1 species
UACGUAGGGUGCAAGCGUUAAUCGGAAUUACUGGGCGUAAAGCGUGCGCAGGCGGUUUUGUAAGUUUGUCGUGAAAGCCCCGGGCUCAACCUGGGGAAUUGCGAUGAAGACUGCAAGGCUUGAAUCUGGCAGAGGGGGGUAGAAUUCCACGUGUAGCAGUGAAAUGCGUAGAGAUGUGGAGGAACACCGAUGGCGAAGGCAGCCCCCUGGGUCAAGAUUGACGCUCAUGCACGAAAGCGUGGGGAGCAAACAGG